UCAUCUCUUGUGGGCAGGUUGUUACGAGCUUGUCACCUUGCAUCAGCUAUGUGAGGCAAGGUGGUGCUCUUCCAACACCAUGUUGCAGUGGGAUUAAGGCCCUCAACAGCCAAGCUACCACCACUCCUGAUCGUCAGGCGGCGUGUAACUGCAUUAAAUCUGCUGUUGCAGGUAUCAGUGGCAUCAACUUCAGUCUUGCUGGUAGUCUCCCUAGCAAAUAUGGUGUCAACCUUCCCUACAAGAUUAGCCCUUCCAUUGACUGCUCCACGUAAGUAUUCACUCCGUAUCAGUUUCAUUUAUGUUAAUUUUAGCUACAUCACUUGUUACGAAAUUUUAGAAUAUAUGAAAAAGACUUUUAAACUAAAUAUAUGUAUGGCAUACCAAAAAUUAUUAUUUCCGCUUUCUUAAUUUUUUUGGUUGAUUAUGAAUAUUGCAGGGUGCAGUAAGAUUUGUGAAGUAAUUUGUGCAUGGUAGCAGGACGCAGAAUAUAGGGCAUACAAGAUGGAAUAAAUAAUACUAGUUGCUUGGACUAAAUGGAUGAAGUUUUCGCAGCACUCUUUAUGUUUCCGUUGUUCAAUCGUCAAUUUUAUAGUCUUGUAGUUGUGUGUAUGUUCAUCAUCUUGCUAUUAAGAGUUAUUGAUUAUAUGAUAUCCUGCUACUUCUUGUAAUUUAUGCUCUAGGGGAAUGAAUAUCCAUACAUAGAUUUCUUUCUUCUAGGGUGUCGACCAUCAGAUCUCUCUAUGCAAAUUUUUAGGGCCCCGUUUUGAAAUUAAUAAUAUGUUAAUUAUGUGUUAAUUUCCUGUAUAAAAAUCUAUAUAUUAUUAAAAGCACAGGAAAAAAUCAUCUCCUUAAGCCAAUUGUCGGCCUAGAAAAAAGUCACAUGGCAUAAGUAGUUAAUAAUUAAUUAUUGAAUAUUAUUUUAGAAUUUAAAUAUUUAUAAAAUAAUAAUAACAUAUAUUUUAUAAUAAAAAACGAAAAAGAAAAUUGUCCAUUCAAAUUGGAGAGUUGUUUUGAGUUGGAGUUUUUAAUAUUUUAAAAUAAAAUAAAUUAUUUUAAAUAGCUACAUGAAAGUUAAAGUCACGGAAAAAAACUCAUAAACUGUUAUUAACACAUCACUCCGAAACAUCAACAAAAGCUAAGUAUUUUGUACAUCAAUUAGACAUGUGUGCACUAAUAAUUAGACCACCAAGAUAUAUAAAAUGGGGAAAACAACAAAAGCAAAUAAGACAAUGAAAGGAAAAAUAGCCAAGACUUAACAAAAUCUAGCUAGUGAUUCGUACACUAAAAUUCAAUUAGGUCCCCCACAAAAAAAAGGAAAGAAACAUGAAGAGCAAAGCAUUAAAUUGUACUCAACUACCAACCGUCCAAGAAUCCAGCUAGUGAGACUAAUAACUCUGCAGACAACAAUAUACUUAGUUACAAAUUCUUCUAUAUAAUAAAGAGCACUUUCACAACCCUUCCUCACACACCAAGUAGAAUUUGCAUAAACAAAACACUACUUCCCUUGUUAGCAAAUACACAUCUUAAAACUAGCUCAUUCAAAAAUGGUGAAGGUAGCAUUGUUGGUAGUAAUGUGCAUUGCAGCAGCAACGUCAGUGAUGUUAACGCCCCAUGCAGACGCUGCCAUCUCUUGUGGGCAGGUUGUUACGAGGUUGUCACCUUGCAUCAGCUAUGUGAGGCAAGGUGGCGCUAUUCCAGCACCAUGCUGCAGUGGGAUUAAGGCCCUCAACAGCCAAGCUACCACCACUCCUGAUCGUCAGGCGACGUGUAACUGUAUUAAAUCUGCUGCUGCAAGCAUCAAUGGCAUCAACUUCAGUCUUGCUGGUAGUCUCCCUAGCAAAUGUGGUGUCAACCUUCCCUACAAGAUUAGCCCUUCCAUUGACUGCUCCACGUACGUAUCUAAUACGCACCUUUAAUUUUGUAAUAGUACAUGAGUACUGCACGUUAACACCCUCUUCAUUACGCUUUGAAAAUAAUCCUGGCAGCACAUAGAAAAUAUAAAUAUUUUUGUCAUUUCAUUCUUCUCUUUAUCAAUUAGAUGCCUUUCGCCUCUCCAGAAAAUAAAUACUGCCACCACUUUUUCCUCCAUUCCUCCUUAGGACCUUUUAUUGGUUUUCUCCUACAAUUGAGUCUCAUAAGUCACGUGUCAAAUAAACAAGUGUGCCUCACAUAAUAACUACUUUGGUUUAGAUGUACAAAUUAAUAUGACUCUCAAGUAAUAAAAAUGCGAGGUUAACUUAAAGGGCAAAUCAUGGAAAAACAGGCAAUAUGUUAGCAAAACCCAAAAUUUAAUUUUAAAUGUAUACUAAUUUAAAGACUGAAUCUAUGAUUAAAAAAAAUGAAUUAUAAGAUUGAAACUGCUUUGAGCUUCAACUUACCAGAAAUUACACCAUUGAGUUUGUUCAUUUUUCUCUAAUUCUUCUUUGGUCGUCGGUUUAUAAAUGUUGCAGGGUGCAGUAAGAUUUGUGAGUGACCUUAUUUAGGGUAGCAGGAUGAAAGAUAUGGGACAUACGACAUGGAAUAAAUAAGAUGAGUUCUUGGAGAAGAUGG
rnacentral:lncRNA from 1 species